UACGUAGGGUGCAAGCGUUGUCCGGAAUUAUUGGGCGUAAAGAGCUCGUAGGCGGUUUUGUCGCGUCUGCUGUGAAAACUGGAGGCUCAACCUCCAGCCUGCAGUGGGUACGGGCAAACUAGAGUGCGGUAGGGGAGACUGGAAUUCCUGGUGUAGCGGUGAAAUGCGCAGAUAUCAGGAGGAACACCGGUGGCGAAGGCGGGUCUCUGGGCCGUAACUGACGCUGAGGAGCGAAAGCAUGGGGAGCGAACAGG
rnacentral:rRNA from 1 species